AGGCGGCGGCGGCAGCAGCUGCAGCUCGUUGGCCCCCUCGGCCGCUCAUUGGCCGGCAGCGGCGUCCAGCUGGCGGUGAGCCCGGGGCGCGUCCAAUAAGCCGCGCUGCCUCCCCUCCCCGCCCCACCUGCCCCGCACUCGCGCACCUCGGAGCCCCGCAGCCCGGCCACCCCCGCUCCGCCACCUGCCUCACCUCGCCUCGCCUCGCCUCGCCUCGCCCCGCGGCGGCGGCACCACCGGCAGCAGCAGCAGCAGCAGCAGCAGCGCCGUCCAGGAGAAUCCACGCGGCCCCUCCGCUCUCCUCAGGAAGCCCGCCAGCCCGGAGGGGAAGCCGCCGCCGCCGUCGCCGCCGCCGUCGGUCAGGCGAAGCAGCCACCUCGGAGCGGCGCCCGCGAGCCUCACCCUCCCCCCCCCUCCAGCCCGCGCCCACCAUGAGCAACCUGGCCAAGGAGAGCGAGCACAGCAGCAGCAGCCUCGAGGAGGAGGUACGGACCCUUUUUGUGAGCGGCCUUCCAGUGGACAUCAAACCGCGAGAGCUGUACCUCCUUUUCCGGCCAUUUAAGGGUUAUGAAGGAUCACUGAUCAAACUAACAUCCAAACAGCCAGUAGGCUUUGUUACUUUCGACAGCCGUUCUGGUGCAGAAGCUGCAAAGAAUGCUUUGAAUGGGAUCCGCUUCGACCCAGAGAAUCCCCAGACGCUGCGGUUAGAGUUUGCUAAGGCCAACACCAAGAUGGCAAAAAGCAAGCUGAUGGGCACACCAAACCCCACCAACCUCCACCCAGCCCUAGGCGCACACUUCAUUGCACGAGAUCCUUAUGAUCUGUCUGGAGCUGCCCUGAUCCCAGCAUCUCCAGAAGCAUGGGCUCCUUACCCCCUGUACACCACGGAGCUAACCCCGGCCAUUCCACAUGCAGCUUUCACCUAUCCAGCUGCUGCAGCUGCCGCCGCUGCUCUUCACGCUCAGUGACCUGCAGCCAAGAUGCCUACGCAGGCUAGCCCUGAAGCUCAGAGCUGGCCCUGGAAAGGUGGGACCUCAUAGUCCUGACUAAUCCCUGCUAGAGUUGGAGUAGCUGUAGAACAGCUUCAUUCCCAGAGGCCUUUCAGGAUGGGCCCGUCUGGAACAGGCUGAUGCGCUGGUACCCUCCUUCUGACGCUAGCCAACAAGGAUGGAAGUCCCGUCAGUUCUGUUAGUUUUAAGCUGCUUUUGGCCCACGUUUCCCCCUCUUGUCUCUCCAUGGACUGAUGCAUGAAGGAUGAAGGAGUCUUUGAGAGUUUCCUCCCUCGGCCUUUUCCCUGGACACCAUCAAAGUGCCCAACUUCACUUGGCCAUCUUAUGAAUGAAGCUGUGGAUUUCCCCCCUCCAAAACUGUGAACGUCAUCUCCUCCGUCUCUUCCCUGGUGUCAUGGCUGCCCUUCUCCCAACUCUUCCCCCCCCCUCCAUCUGCUAAGCCCCACCACCCUCCUGUUGCUGAGUUUCUCCUCCUGCUACCUUGAGUCCUUUCAGGAGAAACUCAACCUUGUUGAUACACCCGCUUGGUGCGGGCGGGCGUGUACGUGUGUGUUCCCAGCUGGGAUGCUGGCACGCAGUGUGGCCUAGCUGUGUACGGUGCAAUAUCCAGACUUUUCUUAUCCCGAAUCUUGUGUAUGCAGUUUUGCUAAAGGAAGCAAAAAGACAAAUCAGUUUUGCAUGUUCUCUGGCAUGAGUUUAAAACACUUUAACUUGGUGUGGGUGUGUGAGUGUGCAAAGCUCGUUUUUGGGUCUAGCAUUUGUGUAACUAUAGCAGUAGAUCUUGGAUUAACUAUUGAUCACUAAACUUUUUUUCAUUUUGCUUCUGUCAAGACUUGGCUUUUGAAAAACACUUCGUCUUCUCUCUCUUCGUGUUCUACUCUUCCUCUUUCCCCAGGAUAUCUUUCCAUGUUCAGCCUUGACUAGAAUUUGAAAUAAAAAAGUUUCUUCUCCAAAGUACAAUGCACUGGGUUUCUGCCCUUCCCGAUUGUCAGGGUUGUUGGGGAUUUUUGUUGUUGUUGUUGUUAUUAUUUUUUCUGUCAAACUUCUAUAUAUAGAACAGCUGUAAACUAUUUCACCUUUUUCUUCCACAUCCCUCGGAUUGGGAAGAAUCCAGUCUUGCCAAAUCAGCAAUCCUUAUGGGAAUAUCGAACAAAGAUGUACGAGUAUUUUUGUACCAUGUGUAAUAAGGAAAUAUUUAUGCAUCAUGCAAAGAUUUUGUGUGGUUUUUGUGCAAUUAAUUAUUAAAGAGUAAAAAAAAACAAAAAACUGUAAUCUGUAAGAUAAGUUUAAUGUUUAGUUAAAAAGCUUGAAGAGAAAGACUUUUUUUCUGUAACUGAUUCAGUCGGGCAUAGUAACGAGAAAUUGCACAAUUAUUUUUUUUUUGUUGAUAUUUUAUUGCUUGGUAUUUGGAAGUCCUUUAAGUAUUACAUUGAACCAUGGCUGUCUCGCUUGUAUUAAGAUUGUUGAAUAAGUUGCUAUAUCCUUUGAGAAUGUGAAACUGGAUAAUAUAUGAAUUGUAUUCCGUG